UAAAGGCCUGGUCCUGACUUUACUAUCAGCUUAAAUCUAACUUAUACAUGCAAGUAUCCGCACCCCUGUGAGAAUGCCCUCAAUCUCCCUCUUGGAGACAAGGAGCUGAUAUCAGGCACAUUAGUUUGCCCAAGACGUCUUGCUUUGCCACACCCCCAAGGGAACUCAGCAGUAAUAAACAUUAAGCAAUAAGUGAAAACUUGACUUAAUUAAGAUUUUUAAGGGUCGGUAAAACUCGUGCCAGCCACCGCGGUUAUACGAGAGACUCUAGUUGAUAGGCACGGCGUAAAGAGUGGUUAGGAAUUUUUUAAAAAUGAAGUCAAAAACCUCCCAAGCAGUCGUACGCACCCUGGAAGCAAAUAAGCCCAAACACGAAAGUAGCUUUAAAUAACUGACGCCACGAAAGCUAAGACACAAACUGGGAUUAGAUACCCCACUAUGCUUAGCCCUAAACCUUGAUAAGAAUUUACAAUUUUAUCCGCCAGGGGACUACAAGCGCUAGCUUAAAACCCAAAGGACUUGACGGUGCCUCAACCCCACCUAGAGGAGCCUGUUCUAGAACCGAUAAUCCUCGUUAAACCUCACCAUCUUUUGUCCCUCCCGCCUAUAUACCGCCGUCGCAAGCUUACCCUGUGAAGGCUCUGCAGUAAGCAAAAUGGGUAAAACCCAGAACGUCAGGUCGAGGUGUAGCUAACAAGAUGGGAAGAAAUGGGCUACAUUUUCUACACAGAAUAUAACGGAUCACGUCAUGAAAAAGGCGUAUGAAGGUGGAUUUAGUAGUAAAAAUAAACUAGAGUGUUUUUUUGAAACAGGCUCUGAGACGCGUACACACCGCCCGUCACCCUCCCCAAGCCCAAUUUAUUAGUAUAUAACAAAUGCAACCCCAAGACGGGGAGGCAAGUCGUAACAUGGUAAGUGUACCGGAAGGUGUACUUGGAACAU
rnacentral:ncRNA from 1 species